UUGGCAGGAACUAAGAUUCUUUCAAGGUACCGUUGGGGGCUGAUCCACACAAAGCACAUUUAAGGAAGCACUUGAAUUGAAGGGGUUCUGUCCUUUGUAUCCAGUAUGCACAACUCCGGACUUCUGUGAUAACUUGUACAUUUUCAACAUCUCCCUAUUUCUCAGCUGUGGAACUGAGAGAUGAACACGCACGUUGCAAGUAUGUUAGUGCUUACACAGAGCCAAGGCCUUUUCUGCUUCUCACACCACCCCACCAGUGAGGAGGCUGGGGGUGGACAAGAAGCUGGGAGGGAACACAGCCGGGACAGCUGACCCCAACUGAUCAAAGGGAUGUUCCAUACCAACUGAUGUCAUGCUCAGCACAUAAAGUUAGGUGAAAGUUGGCCGGGGGGCUGCUGCUCAAGGACUGGCUGGGCAUCAGUUGGUUGGUGAUUUUCUAUAUGACCUUGGAAAAGUUGGAUGGGGCUGAUUCUGCACUGGAAAGUCGAUGGGCCAUAUUCUACAAAGAGAUGAGGACUGAAACUGCAUCCUUCCUGUAACUCUUGUCUCUUCCCUUGUAAAAAGAGGCUAACACUGUACUCCUGCCUCCUCGAGGUGCAGCAAAGCUAAAUCACCUGGGGCAUUUGAGGUGCAUGUCACAGGACCCGGAAAAGAAAGACGUUGAGUGGAUCCUGACCUCACGGAAGUCAAUGGCAGCGUUUUCUUUCAUUUUCAGGGGGUCUGAACUGUGCCUGAGCUUUUCCUCCGAAGCCUAUGGCUGUCAGGGUCCUUUGGGCACUAAUGAGCCUUACUAGCCCUGACCAGCUUCUACCCUCUGCCCAGGAGCACUGCUUCAGCUCAGGGCUCGGCAUGCAGUCCUUGCCUGAGCUAUGCUGUGCCACGUCUAUCUCUGACUGUGCCCUCUGGACGGAUCCAUGUUGUAGUCCUGUCUCCAGUCCUACCUCUCACCCUUGUCUGCUGGGUGGACCUUGGAACUGGCUGAUUAUGACUAUUUUGCCUUGGGUGAGGCUGUUGAUGGGAUUCAUUGCUAUGACCACCUGGCUCUGCCCCAUGUUCAGACCCGGCGGGACUGCACCCUGUCAGUGACGGCACGGCCUGUGCCAGGUCACAUGUGGCUCCUGGCUCGUCUCCACUCGUGGCACAGCCCUGCUCAUGCUGCUCCCUGAUGCUGCUCCUGCAGAGACUGAAUUUAUGCCCUGUGACAAAUCCUCUGAUGAGAAAUUCGGUCAAACCAUUUAGAGUGCUUGAAGUGAACUGGGGGGUUAUAAUAAAUCUUUGCAGGAUCACAGGUCUCUGUAAUGCAAAAAUGCGCAACCCUAGAUAUAGAAAUAGUUGUAUACAGCUUAACUGAGUGGUAAUGCAGCUCUUGGACCUACAGGAAUAUAGGAAUAUCUAUAGAUAUCCAGAUCUACUAAAGAAAUGGCUAGUCCUCAGCCUUGCAGAGAGCAACUUGAAAAGUUAAGAACUCUAGAUGUCAAAAGAACAAGAGUUGAAAAUAGAAAUAUCCAGACAAUCCCACUUACAUUUAUUGUGCUUGGAGUCUAGGAAAUCAGAUGGAUUUUAAGCUAACUUCAUGAUUUAUUGCAGUUUAUUACCUGAUACUUGGAUGCCUGUGAUUAGCCAGACACAGAAGAUGACAGGCAGUGGUAUUUUUUGUUCACCGUGAGGCAAAAGGGGCAAACUUCAGUCAGUUUUCUAUUAACCUUUCCCCUCCAAGCAUCCAAACAACAAAUGCAUAGAAAUACUGGUAUUUAAAUUUGAAAUUCUGUUGGUGGGGUAACAGCUCUCCCCAGGGUGCUUAUCUGUAAGGUAACAAUUGCUUCACAUUUUAUAGUCUCUUUUUGUUCUCGAUUUUUUUGUUUAAGAAAUGCAACCCUCAGAAUGAUUGGGAAUUUCUUUUGGAUGUUUUUAAUACGAGAUGCAAAUACAUGCGCAAAAAUUCAAGACUGAGUCGUUGCUAUUUCCUUCAUCAGCCUCUGGGUCCUGUAUCCAACAGGUGCCAGGGAAGGCAAAGUUUAAAUUCCCCACUGGCACAGUUCAUCUGAGCAUGCUGGGAUCUACCAGUCUAGGUCCAGGAGCAGAAUUUGGCCUGUGAGGUAGGGGAUGCCCUGAGUGUGCUUGCACCGUAUAACGUACUGCAGUACCAGGAGGGCGCAGGAAGACCUGCCGUAAUUACUGAGUUCAGAUGAGCGUAACAGCCUGUGUUGGAUCUCGGGGUAACAUGGCCACGUGCUUCUGGAUGAAGCUGUGCAUGCAGACCAGCUUGUGUGAGGGACUGCACUGUACCCCUUCGAUGUGACUCUAUGAAUAAUGAGUAAGACUGCUAAAAAAGAGGCAUUCUUUCUCUUUCCCUUAGUAGAAACUCUCUAAGGUUGUGCUAAUACUUCAUACAGUUAUUUGGUUAUAUUUGAUUGGGUAGCUUUGAAAAAGAGUCUUUUUAGCAAGGAAGGUAUUAUUUAUUGCUCCUCUUAGGGAAGUUCUUGUAGAUCCCCUUUGAGACAGGCAGGUCCGUGGUGCUCUACGGUGUAAGUUUACUCAGUGGGUAAAGAGGAGAGUCACUGUGCCAGGAGCUCUCCUGGUAUAACUGCUGUGACACGUGGAACAAAGCCAGCAAAUGCCCUGGGGUUGGGGAAGGGAGCAGGAGAUCAAGGUAACAAAAUAGCUGCAGUUUAGUAUGAUAACAAACUUGACAGAUUACAAUUUACCUAAGGAAUGAAAUGGGAAUGCUUCUUCCUUGAAGACCAUGUGCUGUGGCACCAUCACCUUCCUCCUCAGUUCUGAUAGCAGCUGAGAUUUGGCCAGAGAGGACAUCCUCUCUGGGACACUGCCUUUAUCGCCGAUUUGUCUCUCUUCCCCAUUGCCUGUUAUCCUGUUCUCACCUAGUAUUAACACACAAGAUGGUGAUUAUGGAAUGACUUGACAGAGGCUGCGCUGUCUGAACUACCGAUAAACUAUGGCUGAUGUGGCAGGGACUAAUGCGAUUGCAUUGAUUUGUAAGUUGUACUAACAAUUCCAGUUGAUGGCAUAAAUCAGUAGAUUUUACUCUUUGGGUUAUCAGAUUCACACGUUUCCUAUUAUAAACUUUUGCAUACAUAGAUUGCUGAGUAGCGCAUAUGAAAUAACUUAUUUUUUUCUUCUUAGACCUCAUAGAAUAUAAGUCCAUCAAGCACAGACUGAAAGCCCUCGAUUUUAAAACAAAAGUGCCUUCAGAGUAAGGUCUCUAACCCUCACAGAGCAGAUAUUAAUUCAUUGAAAUUGUUUUUAAAGAAAGGUACUAUUUUACAGGAAGGUAAGUAUAUUUUUCCAGUAGAUCUAGUUGUCAAGAUGUUUUUAGAGAAAAUGAGUCUUUGCCACUACUAAUGAAUAAGGCAGUUGAAAUUCCUCUGUACCCAUGACCUAAAUUAAUGUUCAGCUUCUCAAAGGGUUAUGGGAGUAAUAGUGUGCAAAGCCUUUCUGCAAACUGUAGGAGGGUUAGAGAGUAAAUUGUUUGGGCCUGCAAGUCUGUGGAGAGAUUGUAAAUAUAUCAGUGGUGAACAAAAAAAAUUUAUUUGUAUUAAGGGGGACUGUUUUCUGCUUCUGAAAUUGUUGCCAUCACAAAAAUAUACAAUAUAGAUGCCAUAUGCUACUAAGGCUCUCUAUCAAUAUUUUGCAUGGUUGAUGUCUGUUAAACAUCCAAGAGAGGCUUUUUGGUGGUGAAAUCCUGAACACCAUCCAGCACAGCACCCAACCAUAAGAUUGCUGGUAGCCCACAAUCUUUAGUCCUCUGGAGUGAAAACUGGUCAGUAAAUUUUUUCUGAAACUAAAUGCUGUCAAUUAAAGUCAGUGUUAUCAACUGCAUCACAUCUACUUGGUAUUUCUAUCAUGUGCGUGAAGUCCAUUAUCCAGGACUGUUGUGCUCAACUAUCACAGUAGUCAAGUCCGUCUGGCACAACAUAUGGAUUUCCUUUAAUCAAAUCUAUCUGAAUGAGAGCACUGGCUCCUUCCUCAGUAUGUUUUUAUAAACCACAUAUUUUCAUUUUCCCAUUAGGAGAUUGUUUCCAGCAAGUGUUGAUAGUAUCAGUAAGGCUGUAGUUAUGCUCAUAAAUUAACAAGUCUUUCUUGUCUCUCCUCUCUCUCCUACUGUAGAGGCCGGCUUCAUGCAGAUAUAGGCAGUGAAAUUAUUUUAUACUCCUCGCAUUUUGAUGUCUUGACUAAUAUGGCUCCAAACCAUGACUUUUGAGCCUGUUCUCUUCUGUUGCCUUUGCCUUUUGUUUAUUUGAAUGGGUCAGUCUGCCCAGAGGAAGUAUAAUAUUCUUCCUGUUUCAUAAAAUCUUCAACCUUACAGCUCCUUUCUAGUUUGUAGCUGACUCUUCAGGUAUUUCUGCCUUCUGUCAUCUUCUGCUUGCAGUACUGAAAUGGUUUCCGAGAUCAGAUUAAUACUGCUGCUCUUUAGCAUCUGUCCAACUCUCCUAACAUUGUCUAUUGUCUGAAGCACAUAGAAAUUUCAGCUAGAGGAAGGUGCCAGAAUGCUAAUACAUAUUGUCAGAGACAUUGCUCCAGUACUCAGAAAUAGACUCUGAUAUGCCAUCCGAGACCGCUAUAGCCUAAAGCUUGGGGCAGAGAUAAAGAGAGAUCCUCAGCUAAGACACUGGGAGAAGACAGACAGACAGACUUAGGGAAAAAAAAAGUGGCAGAUCCUGAGGUAGCUUGAAUAAUAUUUGAGAUAGAGAUAGAUUUUAUUAGUGUGGUAAAAUAAGUCAGUGUUAAAAUUAAUCUGUGAAGAAGCAAAUUAUUUAUUAUAACACUUAUUAGGCUUUUAAUGAAUUUUGAAUAAAUAUACUUGAUUUUUUUUUUCAAACGCUCUAGAUAUGGAUUCAAAGAUGUGGAUGCAAAGCAUCCACAGAGCUGGGCAAUAUUUCCAACAGAGUGCCAGUUAUAUUAAUUAUGAGGUUGUUAGUGAUGUUUUGCAACUAACUUCUGCAGUUCCUGUAGUCAGAUAUGUAAAUCAUAACAUGCGGAUGCAAUUUACAGUUUAUUGUUAUGUCUGAUUGUCAGGCUUUAUUUUUACCUUAAGUUAAAGCCAUUUCAAACAAUUAGCAACACCAAAGUUUUCCCUGAUAUAAGGAACAGUUUUUGCAGGCAUUAGAAAUUUCUGAAUCAGACUGAUGUUUCUCAAAUACAUAUUGUGGUUUUGUGCAAAAUCCUUGGAUCUUAAGAAUCCUAGAUUUUGGGUGUGUUUGCAGCUGAAAUUCUGUUCUGCAUAUAUGGUUUGAGGGAUUAUUUAUACUGUUUCAGAAUAUUUCCCAUUUGCUGCACAAAACUUCUGUACGAUUGAAAAUGAGGUGUCAGUGAAGAUACCCAAUUCAAUC